ensembl:lncRNA
GGGAAUUGGGAAUGACCUAUUGCUGUUCCUAUUGGUGGUAUUUAUGAGGAUCACAUGAAGAGGGAAUCAGGCAAUGGUGUCUUACAAACAUAUUAUAAAUAUAUGAACUCCUCAGCCUACACAUUCAGUCAAACACCACAGCUCGGGUUGAUCUCGUAAAACCCAGCAGUGCCACAUGCCACCAGGUCCCGAAUAAGCCCUGGUCACAUUGCGAUCAUUAUACACCUGGGACCGACAGACAGACAAGCAAUGGAACAUACAUGGGCUUUAAUAAGGACGUGCCACAAGGCAGCCUCAGGGGUGGAUAAUGUUCUCUGGGACAAGUGAGGUUCAACCACAGAUAUGGAAUAGAUAGAAUGAACACUAUCAUUAAAAGGGAGACUUGUACUGUAUGACAGACAGGAUGUUAAUAUGUCAACGUGGCCGUUCAAUUCUAUCACCAUGUGGGUGGGUCCAUGACCAGAUAACCUGUGGAAUAGAGACCUGUGUCAGUCUGGUCUUUACAGUCUAUAUCUAUGGUUACUGUGGCAUUAGCCUUUUUAAAUUAAACCAGAGGUAUUUCUGAGCAGCAUUCUCCUCUGUCCUCUGUUCCCAUGGGACCUGAACAUGAUCUCCAGCAUUGGGGAUAGAUACUAGGGAGGUGUUGAGAGAGAUGCGGGGGGGGGGGGGGGGGGGGGGGGGAUGGGGGGGGAUGGGUGGAAAGUGGUAUAGAGGGGAGAGAGGGUUGUUAAAGAUAGCCAGGCAUUUGGUUUGGCUCUAUGUUACAACAUUGAUAUCCAUGGUGACUAUAAUGUAGUGUUCUUGUUGACAAUGCACCUUGUUGUUAUGGUAACUAUGCCUGUCCAGUGAGCAGAGGUUGAGGUUGCGCAAAGUCAAAAUAUAACAGACACUUUUUUCCUGCUUUUUCAGAUGCCUCGGGGGGAGAGGAGGAGAGAGAACCGGAGAAAGAGGAGGAGAGAGAACCGGAGAAAGAGGAGGAGAGAGAACCGGAGAAAGAGGAGGAGAAACAGCCCACAUGAGAAGAAAGGAAAGAAGAGGAAUCAGGAACCCGUUCCGGCUAAGAAGAAGACUGCACUGAAAUCCCAGGAGUGAUUUAUGGCUCAGGAGAAGAAAGUUGAUGAGGGCGAGAAAAAGACCAAGAACAAGAGAUAGGUAAGACUAAGGAUGGAGGGGAUUGAAGAGACACCUGCUGUCCUAAAAAGGAACUGCAGUUAAAAUGUGCCUUAAUUCAACCACAUUGGUGUUAGAAGUGGGAAUUAUAUCUCUGUUUGUAUUCAGAAGAAGACGAUCACAGACGUCCUGGCCACGACGGAACCCAAACCGGUCGCUUUAGGCGACCUGCUGAACCUGCUUCUAAAGCACUUCAAAGAUGGGGCGGCCAGGUAGCUUAGUGGUUAGAGCGUUGGACUAGUAACCAGAAGGUUGCAAGUUCAAAUCCCCAAGCUGACAAGGUACAAGUCUGUCGUUCUGCCCCUGAACAGGCAGUUAACCCACUGUUCCUAGGCUGUCAUUGAAAAUAAGAAUUUGUUCUUAACUGACUUGCCUAGUUAAAUAAAGGUUAAGGAAAAAAAAGAUGAGCACUCAGAAUAGUUUAAACUCCAGGGUGAGUCACCUGACCUCUGUAUUCUUUUACCAGCAGGUCUAAGGGCUGUCAGCCUUUCUGUCAGUCUCUAUUUCUUUCUAUCUCUCCCUCUGUACCCCUUCUCUCCCUCUCACUCCCCCUCUCUCUCUCUUCUAUCUCUCCCUUCUCUCCCUCUCACUCCCCCUCACUCUCUUUCUCUCUCUCCCGCUCUUACUCAGUCACUUUCUCUGAAUAACGUAAUGUGACUUUUUUCUCUGGUUCCUGCUUCCUGACGAGUAAUGACCUCACACACGGCCUCUCCUCCUACCUAAAAGAAAGUGAGUACAAACCAAACCAUCACUCCUUACAUACAGUGGGGCAAAAAAGUAUUUAGUCAGCCACCAAUUGUGCAAGUUCUCCCACUUAAAAGAGAGAGGCCUGUAAUUUUCAUCAUAGGUACACUUCAACUAUGACAGACAAAAUGAGAGAAAAAAUCCAGAAAAUCACAUUGUAGGAUUUUUUAUGAAUUUAUUUGCAAAUUAUGGUGGAAAAUAAGUAUUUGGUCAAUAACAAAAGUUUAUCUCAAUACUUUGUUAUAUACCCUUUGUUGGCAAUGACAGAGGUCAAACAUUUUCUGUAAGUCUUCACAAGGUUUUCACACACUGUUGCUGGUAUUUUGGCCCAUUCCUCCGUGCAGGUCUCAUCUAGAGCAGUGAUGUUUUGGGGCUGUUGCUGGGCAACACGGACUUUCAACUCCCUCCAAAGAUUUUCUAUGGGAUUGAGAUCUGGAGACUGGCUA